CAGGUUUGUCACAUAAGUAUACACAUGCCAUGGUGGUUGUUUACUGCAUCCAUCGCCCCAUCAUCUACAUGAGGAAUUUCUCCUACUGUUAUCCCUCCCCAAUACACCCACCCCCUGCUAUUCCUUCCCUAGUCCCCACCCCCAGGCCCCAGUGUGUGAUGUUCCCCUCCCUGUGUUCAUGUGUUCUCAUUGUUCAACACCCACUUAUGAGUGAGAACAUGUGAUGUUUGGUUUUCUGUUCUUAGUAUGCUGAGAAUGAUGGUUUCCAGUUUCAUCCAUGUCCCUGCAAAGGAAAUGAACUCAUCCUUUUUUAUGGAUACAUAGUAUUCCAUGGUGUAUAUGUGCCACAUUUUCUUUAUCCAGUCUAUCAUUGUGGGCAUUUCGGUUGGUUCCAAGUCUUUGCUAUUGUGAACAGUGCUGCAAUAAACAUACAUAUGCAUGUGUCUUUAUAAUACAAUGAUUUAUAAUCCUUUGGGUAUAUACUCAGUAAUGGGAUUUCUAGGUCAAAUGAUACUUCUAUUUCUAAAUCCUUGAGGAAUCACCACACUGUUUUCCACUGGUUGAAUUAGUUUCCACUCCCACCAACAGUGUAAAAACGUUCCUAUUUCUCCACAUCCUCUCCAGCAUCUGUCUCCUGAUUUUUUAAUGAUCGCCAUUCUAAGUGGCGUGAGGUGGUAUUUAAAUGUGUUUUGAUUUGAAUUGCUCUAAUGACCAGUGAAGAUGAGCUUUUUUUCAUAUGUUUGUUGGCUGCAUAAAUGUCUUCUUUUGAAAAGUGUCUGUUCAUAUCCUUUGCCCACUUUUUGAUGGGUUUGUUUUAUUCUUGUAAAUUUGUUUAAGUUCUCUGUAGAUUCUGGAUAUUAGCCCUUUGUCAGAUGGGUAGAUUGCAAAAAUUUUUUCCCAUUCUGUUGUUUGCUGGUUCACUCUAUUGACAGUUUCUUUUGCUGUGCAGAAGCUUUAAGUUUAAUUAGAUCCCAUUUGUCUAUUUUGGCUUUUGUUGCCAUUGCUUUUGGUGUUUUAGUCAUGAAGUCCUUGCCCUUGCCUAUGUCCUGAAUGGCACUGCCUUGGUUUUCUUAUAGAGUUUUCAUGGUGUUAGGUGUCAUGUUUAAAUCUUUAAUCCAUCUAGAGUUAAUUUUUGUAAAAGGUGUAAGGAAGUGAUCCAGUUUCAGCUUUCUGCAUAUGACUAGCCAGUUUUCCAAACACUGUUUAUUAAAUAGGGAAUUCUUUCCCCAUUGCUUAUUUUUGUCAGGUUUGUCAAAGAUCCAUUGGUUGUAAUUAUGUGGCAUUCUUUCUGAGGCCUCUGUUCUGUUGCGUUGGUCUAUAUCUCUGUUUUGGUACCAGUACCAUGCUUUUUUGAUUACAGUAGCCUUGUAAUCAAGGUAGCUUAAUGCCUCCAGCUUUGUUUCUUUGCUUAGGAUUUUCUUGGCUAUGUGGGCAAUUUUUUGGUUCCACCUGAAGUUUAAGGUUGUUUUUUACAAUUCCAUGAAGAAAGUAAUUGGUAGCUUGAUGGGGAUACCAUUGAAUCUGUAAAUUACUUUGGGCAGUAUGGCCAUUUUCACGACAUCGAUUCUUCGGCAUGAAGUGUUUUUCCAUUGUUUGUGUCCUCUCUUAUUUCCUUCAGCAGUGGUCUGUAUUUCUCCUUGAAUAGGUUCUUCACAUCCCUUGUUAGUUGUGUUCCUAGGUAUUUUAUUCACUUUGUAGCAUUUGUGAAUGGGAGUUCACUCAUGAUUUGGCUCUCUGUUUAUCUAUUAUUGGUGUAUAGGAGUGCUUGCAAUUUUUGCAUGUUGGUUUUUUAACCUGAGACUUUGGUGAAGUUGCUUAUCAGCUUAAGGAGAUUCUGGGCUGAGAUGACGGGGUUUUCUAAAUAUACAAUCAUGUCAUCUGCAAACAGUGACAGUUUGACUUCUCUCUUCCUAUUUGAAUACCUUUGUUUCUUUCUCUCACCUGAUGGCCCUAGCCAGAACUUCCAAUGCUAUGUUGAAUGGCAGUGGUGAGAGAGGCAUCCUUGUUUUGUGCCAGUUUUCAAAGGGAAUGCUUACAGUUUUUGCCCAUUCAGCAUGAUAUUGGCUGUAGGUUUGUCAUAAAUAGCUCUUAUUAUUUUGAGAUACAAUACAUCAAUGCCUAGUUUAUUGAGAGUUUUUAGCAUAACGGGCUGUUUAAUUUUGUCAAUGGCCUUUUCUGCAUCUAUUGAGAUAAUCAUGUGGUUUUUGUCUUUGGUUCUGUUUAUGUGAUGGAUUAUGUUUAUAGAUUUGCAGAUGUUGAACCAGCCUUGCAUCCCUGGGAUGAAGCUGACUUGAUCAUGAUGGAUAAGCUUUUUGAUUUGCUGUUGGAUUUGGUGCCAGUAUUUUAUGGAAGAUUUUUGUAUCAAAGUUCAUCAUGGAUAUUGGCCUGAAAUUUUCUUUUUUAGUUGUGUCUCUGCCAGGUUUUGGUAUCAGGAUGAUGUUGGUUUCCUAAAAUGAGAUAGCGAGGAUUCCCUCUUUUUGUAUUCUUUGGAAUAGUUUCAGAAGGAAUGGUACCAGCUCCUCUUUGUACCUGUGGUAAAAUUUGGCUGUGAACCCAUCUGGUCCUGGACUUCUUUUGGUUGGUAGGCUAUUAAUUGCUGCCUUAACUUCAGACCUUGUUAUUGGUCUAUUCAGGAAUUCAACUUCUUCCUGGUUUACUCUUGGAAUGGUGUAAGUGUCCAGGAAUUUAUCCGUUUCUUCUAGAUUUACUGGUUUAUUUGCCUAGAAGAGUUUGUAGUAAUCUCAGAUAGUAGUUUGUAUUUCUGUGGGAUCAGUGGUGAUAUCCCUUUUAUUAUUUUUUAUUGCAUCUAUUUGCUGCUUCUCUCUUUUCUUUUUUAUUAGUCUGGCUAGCAUUCUAUUUUGUUGAUCUUUUCAAAAAAACAGCUCCUGGAUUUAUUGCUUUUUUUGAAGGGCUUUUUUGUGUCUCUACCUCCUUCAGUUCUGCUCUGAUCUUAGUUAUUUCUCGUCUCCUGCUAGCUUUUGAAUUUGUUUGAUCUUGCUCCUCUAGUUAUUUUAAUCGUGAAGUUAGGGUGUCAUUUUUAUAGAUUUCCUUGCUUCUCUGGUGGGCAUUUAGUGCUAUGAAUUUCCCUCUACACACUGCUUUAAAUGUGUCCCAGAGAUUCUGUUACAUUGUGUCUUCAUUCUCAUUGGUUUUGAAGAACAUUGUUAUUUCUGCCUUCAUUUCAUUAUUUAUCCAGUAGUCAUUCAGGAGCAGGUUGUUUAGUUUCCAUGUAGUUAUGGGGUUUUGCAUGAGUUUCUUAAUCCUGAGUUCUAAUUUGAUUGCACUGUGGUCUGAGAGACUGUUUGUUAUUAUUUCUGUUCUUUUGCUGAGGAGUGUUUCACUUCCAAUUAUGUGGUCAAUUUUAGAAUCAGUGCAGUGUGGUGCUGAGAAGAAUGUAUAUUCUGUGCUUUGGGGUGGAUAGUUCUGUAGAUGUUUAUUAAGUCCACUUGGUCCAGAUCUGAGUUCAAGUCCUGAAUAUCGUUGUUAAUUUUCUGUCUUGUUGAUCUGUCUGGUAUAGACAGUGGGAUGUUAAAGUCUCCCACUAUUAUUGUGUGGGAGUCUAAGUCUCUUUGUAGGUCAUGAAGAACUUGUUUUAUGUAUCUGGGUGCUCCUGUAUUGGUUGCAUAUAUAUUUAGGAUAGUUAGCUCUUCUUGUUGCAUGAAUCCCUUUACCUUUAUAUAGUGCCCUUUGUCUCUUUUGAUCUUCGUUGGUUUAAAGUAUGUUUUAUUGCAGACUAGGGUGCAACCUCCUUUUUUUUUUUGCUCUCCAUUUACUUGAUAAAUCUUCCUCCAUCCCUUUAUUUUGAGCCUAUGUGUCUUUGCAGGUGAGAUGGGUUUCCUAAAUACAGCACACCAAUGGGUCUUGAUUUUUAUCCAAUUCGCCAGUCUGCGUCUUUUGAUUAGGGCAUUUAGUCCAUUUACAUUUAAGGUAAGUAUUGUUAUGUGUGAAUGUGAUCCUGCCAUUUUGAUGCUAGCUGGUUGUUUUGCCCGUUAGUUGAUGCAGUUUCUUCAUAGUGUCGAUGGUCUUUACAGUUUGGUCUGUUUUUGCGGUGGCUGGUACUGGUUGUCCUUUUCCCUGUUUAGUGCUUCCUUCAGUAGCUCUUGUAGGGCAGGACUGGUGGUGACAAAAUCUCUCAGCAUUUGCUUGUUGGUAAAGGAUUUUAUUUCUCCUUCACUUACGAAGCUUAGUUUGGCUAGAUAUAAAAUUCUGGGUUGAAAAUUCUUUUCUUUCAGGAUGUUGAAUAUUGGUCUCCACUCUCUUCUGACUUGUAGAGUUUCUGCCAAGAGAUCUGCUGUGAGUCUGAUGGGCUUCCCUUUGUGGGUAACCCAACCUUUCUUUCUGGCUGCCCUUAGCAUUUUUUCCUUCAUUUUCUGGUAAAGCUGACAUUUAUGUGCCUUGGGGUUGCUCUUCUCAAGGAUUACAUUUGUGGUGGUCUCUGUAUUUUCUGUAUUUGAAUGUUGGCCUGAUUUGCUAGGUUGGGGAAGUUCUCCCAGAUAAUAUCCCAAAGAGUGUUUUCCAACUUGGUUUCAUUCUCCCCGUCACUUUCAGGUACACUGAUCAAAAGUAGAUUUGGUCUUUUCACAUGAUCCCAUAUUUCUUGGAGGCUUUGUUCGUUUCUUUUCAUUCUUUUUCGUCUAAUCUUGUCUUCUUGCUUUACUUCAUUGAGUCGAUCUUAACUCUGAUAUCCUUUCUGCUGCUUGAUUGAUUUGGCUAUAGAAACUUGUAUAUGCUUCACGAAGUUGUCAUGCUAUGUUUUUGAGCUCCAUCAAGUCGUUUAUAUUCUUCUCUAUGCUGGUUGUUCUAGUUACCAUUUUGUCUAACCUUUUUUCAAGAUUCUUAAUUUUCAUGCAUUGGGUUAGAACAUGCUCCUUUAGCUUGGAGAAGUUGGUUAUUACUUACCUUCUGAGGCCUGCUUCUGUCAAUUCAUCAAACUCAUUCUCCAUCCAGUUUUGUUCCCUUGCUGGUGAGGGACUGUGAUCCCUUGGAGGAGAAGGAAGUGUUCUGGCUUUUGGUGGUUUCAGCAUUUUUGCCCUGGUUCUUUCCUUUCUUCGUGGAUUUGUCUACCUUUGGUCUUUGAAGUUGGUGACUUUUGCAUGGGGUUUCUGAGUGGAUGUCCUUUCUGUUGAUGUUGAAGCUAUUUCUUUCUCUUUGUUAGUGUUCCUUCUAACUGUCAGGCCCCUCUGCUGCAGGUCUGCUGGAGUUUGCUGGAGGUCCACUCCAGACCUUGCUUGCCUGGGAAUCACCUACAGGGGCUGCAGAACAGCGAAGAUUGCUGCCUGUUCCUUCCUCUGGUAGCUUUGCCCCAAAAGGGUACCUGCCAGAUGUCAGCCAGAGCUCUUCUGUAUGAUGUGUCUCACAGUUAGUAUAUAUGGUGGGGGGGGGGGUCAGUGAGCACUCGAGGAGGCAGCCUCUCCCUUAACAGAGCUCAUGCAGUGUGCUGGGAGAUCUGUUUCUCCAUUCAGGGCUGCCAGGAAGGGACAUUUAAGUCUGCUGAAGCAGAACCCACAACGGCCCCUUUUCCCAGGUGCUCUAUCCCAGGAAUGUGGGGGCUUUGUAAGUCCCUGAUGGGCUGCUGUCUUUUUUUUCAGAGAUGCCUGCCCAGCAAGAAGGGAAUCUACGUGACAGUCUGGUGCAGAGGCCUUGCUGAACUGCUGGCUGGCUCCACCCAGUUGCUGUGAAAGCUUCCCCACAGCUUUGUUACACAGGCAAUAUUGAAACCGUGUGCCUGAGCCUCAGCAAUGUGGGCGCCCCUCCCCCCACCAAGCUCCAACUUCCCGGGUUAAGCUCAGACUGCUGUGCUGGCUGCUAGAAUUUCAAGCGGGUGGAUCUUAGCUUGCCAGUCUUCGUGGGGGUGGUGCCUGCCGAGCCAGCUCACUUGGCUACCUGGUUUCAGCCCCCUUUUACAGAAGAAUGAGCAGUUCUGUCUUGCUGGCAUUCCAGGCACCACUUGACUAAGACAGCUGCCCAGUUUUGUGCUGGAAACCUGGGGUGCUGGCAUGUAGGUGCUGGAGGGAAUCUCCUGGUCUGCGAGUUAUGUAGACCAUGGGAAAAGCACAGUAUCUGAGCUGCAGUGCCAGUGUCCAGAAAAGUUCCUAAUGGCUUCCCUUGGCUGAGAGAGAGAGUUCUCUGGCCCCUUGUGCCUCGCAGGUGAGGUGAUGCCCCACUCUGCUUUGGCUUGCCCACCUUUGGCCAUUCCCACUGUUUAACCACUCCCAGUGACAUGAACCUGUUACCUCAGUUGGAAAUGCAGAGAUCCCUGUCUUCUGGUGCACUCUCGCUGGGAAUUGCAGACUGGAGCUGUUCCUAUUCGGUCAUCUGUUUUUUUUGAGACAGAGUUUCACUCUUGUCACCCAGGCUGGAGUGUACUGGUAUGAUCUCAGCUCACUGUAAUCUCCAUCUCCCAGGUUCAAGUGAUGAUUCUCCUGUCUCAGCCUCUUGAGUAGCUAGAAUUACAGGUGCCUGCUACCAUGCCUGGCUAAUUUUUGUAUUUUUAUUAGAGACAGUGUUUCAUCAUGUCAACAACAAAAAAAGUUACCUAACAACUUAAAAAAAUUUGAGGUCUUGAACUCGUGACCUCAGGAGAUCCACCUGCCUUGGCCUCCCAAAAUGCUGGGAUUACAGGCAUGAGCUACUGUGCCUGGCUGAUAUUUUUAUUUUAUAAUAGUUUUUGCCAAUUUGGUAAAUGAAAACGGUACGCUUUUUUUUUUUGCAUUUCUUGAUUACUAAUUAGUUAACUAUUGAUUUUAUGUUUAUUGGGCCCUGGUACUAAUUCUUUUGUGAAUAUAUUGCUUAUUAUUAUCUCCCAUUUUUGUUUAUUGAAGUGUUAAAGUUUUUCUUAUUUUUAUAAUAGUUUAAAAAAAUAUUAAGGUUCUUUGUUGUUGCAGAUUUUUCACUAUAUUUGUAUUUGUUUUUGAUUUUUAAUGUUUAUUUGUAUCCUGAGAUCCAUCUGAAAUUUGUUUUUGUUAUUUCUGAAAUAUCUCUUUAGUUCUCCUUGAACAAUUAAAAAAACAUUGUUUCUCAUAAUUUAAGAUGAUAUUCCUGCAUAUAUUAUUCAAGUUAAGGUGGGUUCCUUUGUGUAGUUCUGCCUUGACAAGGUUUUCACCCUAAUUGGGGAUUUCUGGCAGCCUGAUGGGUGGAAAUUUGGUUGAGAUGGCCUACUGCCCAUAGCAAAGGAAAACUAUGCCUAUGUCUUGGGCAAAGCCAGCCAGAAGGGAGGGCACAUCCCCAAUGGUUUAGGACCUUUAGUCCUGAAGGGAGGGCACAUCCCCAAUGGUUCUCAAGUCAGAACAAGUAGAGUAAGUGUGUUUUGGAGAUAUCUGGGCUCUUCCUGGGCAGUGUUUUGGGCCACAUAGAGCUGGGUGACAUUGAUAGGGUGCUGAGCCAGUCAGAGCAGAGUGAAUCUCAAGCAGGCAUUGAAUAUGUGUCCCUUUUCUUCCUCACAGCACAUGGCCUUUGCUGCUGAUACUCGCAGGUCAGAUACGGCUGUGGGGACAGAGCCCUGUGUGUGCUGCUGUGGGGAUGUAGACUAGGGGUUGGAAAUGUGAAUUCUAGCUCCUAAUUAGUUUUAUUACUUAUUAAGCCCUGACUUUUUUUUCUGUCUGUAAAUGGGGGAAAAAACUUACCUAGCAACUUAAAAAUUUUCAAUAGUUUUUGAGGCAAAGUUCAUUUUUGGUUACAUGAAUAAGUUCUUUAGUGGUGAUUUCUGAAAUUUUGGUGAGCCUGUCACCCAAGCAGUGUACACUGCACCAAAUUUGUAGUCUUUUAUCCCUCAUCCCCAUCCCACCCUUCCUAGAGUCCCCAAAGUCCGUGAUAUCAUUCUAAGGCCUUUGUGUUCUCAUAAGCUUAGCUUAUAAGUGAAAACUUAAGAUACCUUGUUUUUCAUUUUGAAGUUACUUCACUUAGAAUAAUGGUCUCCAUCUUUAUCCAGGUUGCACAAAAGCCAUUAGUUCAUUCCUUUUUAUGCCUGAAGACUAUUCCAUGGUGUAUACAUACCACAGUUUCUUUAUCCACUUGGUUGAUGGGUAUUUAGGUUGGGUUCAUAUUUUUGCAAUUGCAAAUUGUGCUGUUAUGAACAUGCAUGUGUAGUGUCUUUUUCAUAUAAUGACUUCUUUUUCUCUGGGUAGAUACCCAGUGGUGGGAUUGCUGGAUUGAAUAGUAGUUCUUUUAGUUAUUUAAGGAAUCUUCAUACUAUUUUCCAUAAUGGUUGUACUAGUUUACAUUCCCACCUGCAGUGUAAAAGUGUUCCCUUUUCACCACAUCAUGCCAACAUCUAUUAUGUUUUGAUUGUCUUAAUUAUAGCCAUUCUUGUAGGAGUAAGAUGGUAUGUCAUUGUGGUUUUGAUUUGCAUUUCCCUGAUUAUUCGUGAUGUUGUGAAUUUUUUCAUAUGUUUUUUGGCCAUUUGUAUAUUUUCUUUUGAGAAUUGUCUAUUGAUGUCCAUUGCCCACUCUUUGAUGGUAUUGCUUUUUUUAAAUCUUGCUGGUUUGUUUGAGUUCCUUAUAGAUUCUGGAUAUUAGUCCUUUGUCAGAUGCAUAGUUUGUGAAUAUUUUCUCCCAUCGUCUGUGUUGUCUGUUUACUCUGCUGAUUAUUUCUUUUUCUCUGCCAAAGCCUUUUAGUUUAAUUAGGUGCCUUUAUUUAUUUUUGUUGGUUAUUGUUGCAUUUGCUUUUGGGUUCUUGGUUAUGAACUCUUCACCUAAGCCAGUGUCUAGAAGAGGUUUUCUGAUGUUAUAGAAUUUUUAUCAUUUCAAGUCUUAGAUUUAAGUCUUUGAUCUAUCAUAAGUUUACUUUGUAUAAGGUGAGAAAUGAAGAUUCAGUUUCAUUCUUCUACAUGUGGCUUGCCAGUUAUCUCAGCAUCAGUUGCUGAAUAGAGUUUUCUUUCCCCACUUCAUGUUUUUGUUCACUUUGUUGAAGAUCUGUUAACUGUAAGUAUUUGGAUCUAUUUCUGGAUUCUCUGUUCUGUUCCAUUGGUUUAUGCACCUGUUAUUAUACCAUUAUCAUGCUCUUUUCAUAACUAUAACCUUGUAGAAGAGUUUGAAGUCGGGUAAUGUGAUGCCUCCAGAUUUGUUCUUUUUGCUUAGUCUUGCUUUGGCUAUGCGGGCUCUUUCUUUUUUAUUCCAUAUGAAUUUUUGGAUAUUUUUUUCUAGUUCUGUGAAGAAUGAUGGUUGUAUUUUGAUGGGAAUUGCAUUGAACCUCUAGAUGGCUUUUGGUAAUAUGGUCAUUUUCACAGUAUUGAUUCUACCCAUCCAUGAGCAUGGGAUGUGUUUCCAUUUGUUUGUGCCAUUUGUGAUGUCUUUCAGCAGUUUUGUAGUUGUCUUUGUGGAGGUGUUUUCACUCCUUUGUUAGGUAUAUUCCUAAAUAUAUAUAUAUAUAUUUUUUUUUUUUGCAGCUAUUUUAAAAGGGGUUGAGUUCUUGAUUUGAAUCUCAGCAUGGUCGUUAUUGGUGUAUAGCAGUGCUACUGAUCUGUGUAUAUUGAUUUUGUAUCCUGAAACUUUGCUGAAUUUAACUUUUUGGAUGAGUCUUUAGCAUUUUCUAGGUAUGUGAUCAUAUCAUUGAUGAACAGUGACAGCUGGACUUCUUCUUUUCUGAUUUGGAUGUUCUUAACUUCUUUCUCUUGUCUGAAGCUUUGUCUAGGACUUCCAGUAAUAUGCUGAAUAGAAAUGGUGAAAGUGGGCAUCUUGUCUUGUUCUGUUUCUUUAGGAAUGCUUUAAACUUUUUACCAUUCAGUAUGAUAUUGGCUAUGGGCUUGUCAUAGAUGGCUCUUAUUGCUUUGAGGUUUAUCCCUUCUGUGACAGUUUUGCUGAGGGUUUUUAUCAUAAAAGGAUGCUAGAUUUUGUCAAAUGCUUUUUCUGCAUUUAUUGAUAUAAUUGUAUGAUUUUUGUUUUUAAUUGUCUUUAUGUAAUGUGUCUCGUUUAUUGACUUGUGAAUGUUAAACCAUCCGUGCAUCCAUGGUUUGAAACCCAUUCGAUCAUGAUGUAUUGUCUUUUUUAUAUACUGCUGGAUUUGGUUAGCUAGUAUUUCAUUGAGGAUUUUUGCAUUUAUGUUCAUCAGGGAUAUUAAUCUGUAGUUUUCCUUUUUUGUUGUUUUUUUCCUGGUUUUGGUAUUAGGGUAAUAUUGGCUUCAUAGAAUGAUUUAGGGAGAAUUUCCUCUUUAUCUUUUGGAAUAGUAUUGGUAGGAUUAGUACAAAUUUUUUAAAUGUCUUAUAGAACUCGGAUGUCAGUUAAUCUGGUCCUGGACUUAAUUUUGCUGGUAAUUUUUAAAAUUACUGUUUCAAUCUUGCUUCUUGUUAUUACUCUGUUCAGAGUUUCUAUAUCUUCCUGAUUUAGUCUAGGAAGGUUGUGUAUUUCCAGGAAUCUAUCCAUCUCCUCUAGAUUUUCCAGAUUGUGUGCAUAAAGGUGUUCACAGUAGCCUUGAAUGAUCUUUUGAAUUUCUGUGGUAUUGGUUAUAAUAUCUCCCACUUAUUUUUAUUUGAGCUUAUUUGGGUCUUCUCUCUUCUUUUAUUGGUUAAUCUCACUAAGUCUAUCAAUUUUGUUUAUCAAAGUACCAGCUUUUUGUUUUAUCUUUUUUUUUUUUUUUUAAGUUCUGCUUUUAUCUUUGUUAUUUCUUUUCUUUACUGCGUUUGGGUUUGGUUUGUUCUUUUUCCCUAGUUCCUUGAGGUGUGACAUUAGAUUGCCUAUUUGUGCUUUCUCAGACUUUUUGAUGUAGGCAUUUGAUGCUAUUAAUUUUCCACUUAGCACCCCUUGUACUGUAUCCCAGAGGUUGUGAUAAGUUAUGUUACUGUUAUUAUUUAGUUCAAAUAAGUUUUAAUUUUUAAAAAAAUUUACUGUUUUUAUCUCAGUUUUAUUGUUGAGUCAAAGAUCAUUCAAGAGCAGAAUUUGCAUUGUUUUGGGGCUUCCUUUUGGAGCUAAUUUCCAUUUUUAUUCUACUGUGUUCUGGAGGAUACUUCAUGUGAUUUCAGUUUUCUUAAAUACACUGUGACUUGUUUUGUGCCCUAUCAUACGGUCUGUCUUGGAGAAUGUUCCAUGUGCUGGUGAAAGGAAUGCAUAUUCUGUAGUUGUUGGGUGGAAUGUUCUGUAAAUAUUUGUUGUUUAUUCGAUGGCAUAGUUCAAGUCCAUUUUUUUCUUUGUUGACUUUCUGUCUUGAUGACCUUUCUAGUGCUGUUAGUGGACCAUUGAAAUUCCCCAGUAUUAUUGUGUUGCUAUGUCAUUUCUUAGGUCUAGUCAUAAUUGUUUUAUGAAUUUGGGAGCUCCUGUGUUAGGUGUGUAUAUAUUUAGGAUUAUGAUAGUUUUCCAUCGGACUAAUCCUUUUAUCAUUUAUAUAAUGUCCCUCUUUGUCUUUUUUUUUAACUGUUGUUGCUUUCAAGUCUAUUUUUUUGUGUGAUAUAAGAAUAGCUUCUCCUGCUUGCUUUUAUUUCCAUUUGUGUGGAAUAUCUUUUUCCUCUCCUUUACCCUAAGUUUAUUUGAGUCCCUUGAAGAUACCAGAUACUUGAUCAGUGGACCUUUAUCCAUUCUGCCAUUCUGUGUCUCUGAGUGGAGGAUUUAGACCAUUUACCGUCAACAUUAGUAUUGAGAUGUGAGGUACUGCUCUAUUCAUUAUGUUAGUUGUUGCUAAAUACCCUUUUUCAUUGUGUUAUUGUUUAUAGGCCCUGUGAGAUUUAUGCUUUAAGAAGGUUCUUUUUUGGUGCAUUUCAAGGUUUUGUUUCAAGAUUUAGAAUUCGCUUUAGCAUUUCUUACAGUGCUGGCUUGGUAGUGUCACAUUCUCUCAGCAUUUGUUUGUCUAAAAAACACUUUAUCUCUCCUUCAUUUCUGAAGCUUAGUUUUGCUGGAUACAGAAUUCGUAGCUGACAAUUAUUUUGUAUAAGGGGGCUAAAGAUAUGACCCCAAUCGCUUCUGGCUUGUAAAUUUUCUGCCUAGAAAUCAGCUGUUAAUCUGAUAGGUUUUUCUUUAUAGUUUAUAUGAUGCUUUUGUCUCACAGCUCUAAAUGUGACAUGGUAAAAAGCCCCAUAAACCUGCAUACCUCAACCAUACCUUGGUUUUCUGUUGAAACUGCUCUCUGUAAUGCAAAUGUGACAGGCAGGCAGUCCAAACCCAAGCCAUUCUGACUCCUGCGACUUGUGAUUUCCACCCUACACAGGCAAUGUGUAAACAAAUGCUUAUCUUGACUUUUGUGAACCACUUAAGUAACAAUCGGAAUGUCAGAAGUCCCCUGGCCCUCGGAAUGUCCGGAGCCUCUCACCCUCAUCUUCGCCUAGGAAUCCACUGGAUUGUCUGGAGCCCCUCACCCUCAUCUCCGCCCAGGAGGUGAUUUACAGAAUCUACUAGUCUUUGGAAUGUCUGAAAUCCCUCACCCCCACCCCCGCCCCUCACCCUCACUCCUGAGGUGGUUUUAUGGGUAUGAAAGGUCUAGACACACUCCUUUCGGGGCCACGGGUUGGAGAGACAUGAGUCCUCCAUGGCUGCUGGCAAUAAAGACCCUGCAAUUUGGCAUAAUUUUGUCUUGGUGUUGACUUUCUAUACUCAGUUCAGGACAACAUAAAGAUUCUUUCAUUCUUCCUGACUUUAGAUAACCAGAUGACUAUACCUAGGUGAUAAUCCUUUUGUGAUGAAUUUCUCAGGAGUUCUUUGAACUUCUUGUUUUUGGAUGUGUAGAUCUCUAGCAAGGCUAGGUAAGUUUUCAAUUAUUCCCUCAAAUAAGUUAUUCAAACUUAGAUUUCCCUUCUUCCUCAGCAACACCAAUUAUUCCUACCUUUGGCCAUUUAACAUAAUCCCAAAUUUCUUUGAGCCUUUGUUCACUUUUUUAGAAUUAUAUUUUCUUUAUCUUUUACAGAUUGGGUUAAUUUGAAAGCCUUGUCUUUGAGCUCUGGAGUUCCUUCUUCUACCUGUUCUAGUCUCUUGUGGAAACUUCCCACUGCAUUUUGUAUUUCCCUAAGUGUGUCUUUCAUUUCUAGUUGUGAUUUUUUUUCUUUAUGAUAUCUGUUUCCCUGUAACAUUUUUUAUCCAUAUCCUGCAUUUUUUUUGAAGUUUUUGUUUGUUUUCAACUUUCCCUGGUUAAUAAUCAACCUUUUGAGUUCUUUAUCUGGCAAUUCAGAGAUUUCUUCUUUGUUUGACUUUAUUGCUAGGGAGUUACCAUGAUCUUUUGGGGGUGAUAGAGAUCUGGUUUUUUUUUUUUUUUUAACAUUACCAGAAUUUCUUUUCUGAUUUCUUCUUAUUUGGGUAGACUAUUACGUAAAAUUGUUCUUGAAUUUAUUUUUGAUUGGAUUUUAAAAAAUCUAAAUUUCUUUUUUUCCCUCUUAAGGAUUAGACUUUAAUGUUUAUUUUAGCCUAAUUUGACUCUUGGUGCUUUUAGGAGUGAAGACUGUGUGAGUUCCUUAGUUACAGAGAAUCUUUUUGUGCUGGCUUUUCCGACGCUAGCUCUAACAGUUAUAUUGUUGAUGUGUGGGUGAAUUCCCUGUCUCUUAUGGAGUUAGAAUGGCAGGGAUCUCUUGAAGCAUAUCUCAUUCUCUUGUGGUAUACACUUUAGAUGGUGUGAAGCGCUGGGAAGGAGGAGGAUGAGAUGGGGGGCAGAUGGGAGCCAGCUCUCAGGGGCCUCUGCUGAGACCUGGGGAAUGAGAAGAGCCCCCAAGGUGCAGCGAUGAGGAGGAAUGGAAGAUGAAGAUAAAAUAUGUGUCCUGAGGCAAUAAAAGCCCUGCUGUGUUGUAAGAGCUGGGAGAAAGUGUAAAUAGAAAGAGUAGCAGUGGAGGGAGGAGCUGGUGAAGAGGAAGAGAGAGGCAGAGGUUGGGUUAGCAGGGUCUUGUCAGGGCCAGCAUGAGGAGCCCAUGGGUGGAUUCUUUGAAUCCGCAUGACCAAUAUGAGGACUGCAGGGGUGGGCCUUUGAAUCCACAUGACCAGCAUGAGGACCAUAUGGCUGGGCCUUCAAAUCCUCAUGACCAGCAUAAGGACUGCAUGGCUGGAUCCUCUGAAUCUACAUGACCAGCAUGAGGGCUUUGUGGGUGGAUCCUUUGGAUCCACGUAACCAGCAUGAGGGCCACAUGAGUGGACCUUUGAAUACCCACAGCCUGCAUGACCACUGGAUGUUGGGGUGCUUGCCCGUCACUUUCUAAGCAGGUCUGUUGUCUAUGCCUUCAGGUGCAACUAUUGCCUGCCUGCAGUGGGGUGUGGGGUACAGCAGAAUCAAGGAUGAUCCCAGUGUUAUUCCCACGUUUCUGAAAUGAUUAUGUUGUGAAGUUAAGUGUAAAGUUGGAUGAAGAGCUUGUGUUUAUUGAAGAUGGAAAAUCCCCAAGACAUUUUCUCAAGUAAUGGUGGCUGUGUACGUGAUAUAGUUAUAGAGAAAUACCUGGUUGAAUCCAAGGAGUCUGCUUCUCAUGUUCAGCUUGCUUGCAGCAUGCAGCACUGUGCUUUCCCUUUGGAUGGGAAUGAACUUUGCAUAUGGAACACCGAGGAUCCUUCUCAUCAGCUUCUAAUCCUAAGAGGACACCAUCAGCCAAUUACUGCUAUGGCUUUUGGAAAUAAAGUGAAUCCACUUCUAAUCUGCUCAGCAUCGCUGGAUUAUGUUAUAAUGUGGAACCUGGAUGAAUGUAGAAAGAAAGUACUUCAAGGGUUGGUCCCGCGAGGGACUGUCAUGGGCUCACUUUUGGGAAAGGUGCUGUGUUUACAGUUGAGCCCGGAUGAUCAAGUUGUUGCCGUGUGUGCUGGAAACAAAAUACUCACGCUGGAUAUCGAGACUCAGGCUGUUCUGGCCAAGCUGCAGGGCCACCUGGGCCCAGUGACUGCGGUGGAGUUCUGUCCCUGGCAAGCAGGCAUCAUCAUCUCGGUGUCUGAGGACAGAGGCUUUAAGGUCUGGGACCAUUGUACAGGAUCGUUAAUAUACAGUUCAUCUGUGUUAUCAGCAUAUCCUCUUCUCAGCUUAUUCAUUGAUGCAGGAAGCCGGCAGCUGGUCACUGGGUGUGCCGACGGCCAGCUUUGGAUCUUCAGUCUGAUGGAUGGACACCACUAUCGUCGUGUGGCACGGGUUGACCUAAGGAAGAAGACAGAGACUUUCUUCACAAGAAGGGUUAAGUCUGGGCUGUACAGCCAACCAGAAGAAAGCUGGCUUCCCUCUACAAGUGCUCUGGGAAAAGGAGAGCAGGUGGGAGUGACGUUUCCUAUACUGAGACUUGCACCCUGCGAUCUCUCACGUGUCCCACAUUCCGCAUGUGGAUGUCUUUCCUCUGAGAACACCCAGUGCUUGUGGAUUGGAAGCUCAGUGGGCUUAUUCGUGUUUAACCCAGCAAACCUGGAAGUGGAAGCUGCUCUCUAUUACAAGGAUUUCCACAGCCUCAGCAUCCCAUUGGCCGGAUCAUGUGCCCUGAGGAGCCGCUUCGCAGAUGGCAAGGCGCUGUGCUUGCUGGCCUCCCUGUUUGGAGGGAAGAUUGCCGCAUUGGAGGUGGACCCAGCUGCGCUGGUCGUGGCUCAGCAGUGCCCCAGGGUGGAACAGGGCCUCUCAGUGCCAGCCAGCUCCUGUGUCCUGCCUACCUCUCCACUGUAUCUGGGAAUUGCCAAGGAGAAAAGCACCAAGGCUGCUAGUGAACAGCAACGUGGUCACGACGGGGCAGUUAACACAGUCUGCUGGAGCCAUGACCAGAGGUGGCUGCUCUCCACGGCCCAGGACCGGACCCUGCGGGUGUGGUCGGCGCGUAGGACAGAGCUCGCACUGCUUCUGGGCAAAGACAUGUUUUCUAAACCAAUACAGUCUGCACAGUUUUAUUACAUAGAUGCCUUUAUAUUGUUAUCUUCUGGCCCUGAAUUUCAGCUACUGAAGUAUCACAUUGACACUUGCAAAGAUGAGAUUAAGAGAUAUAAACAGAGGAGCAAAUCCAAGCUGGUUUGCAGGCUCUCCUUGACGGAUGCAGGAGACGUGACCUGUUUAUCAGCAGUAAACGACUUUUAUUCCCACAUCGUACUCACAGCUGGCCGGAACAGGACCGUGGAAGUCUUUGAUCUCAACGCCGGCUGCAGUGCAGCCGUGAUAGCGGAAGCCCACUCGCGGCCUGUCCAUCAAAUCUGCCAGAAUAAAGGUUCAUCAUUUACGACCCAGCAGCCUCAGGCUUAUAAUCUUUUCCUGACCACGGCCAUUGGCGAUGGGAUGAGACUGUGGGACCUGAGAACCCUGAGGUGUGAGCGCCACUUCGAAGGGCACCCAAACCGUAGCUAUCCAUGUGGAAUCGCUUUCAGUCCUUGUGGACGAUUCGUGGCUUGUGGGGCUGAGGACAGACACGCUUACAUGUAUGAAAUGGGCUCCAGCAUGUUUUCUCACCGGCUGGCUGGGCACACAGACAUCGUCACUGCAGUGGCCUUCAACCCAUCAGCACCCCAGGUAGAAAUUUCAUCGGAUUACCUACCAGUGCUUUCCAGGACUUGUCUAAAGUUUCUUGGGAGGACUAUAGAAGCAGUUCAAGACCCUCGUCACUUCCUCCAUCUACUCAAUUCUUGGCUUCCCCUCAAGAAUGGAUCAGUGUCUGUGAUGAGCAGACCUGUAGCCCUGGAAAUGUUUAAGUCCUAACCCCUGGAACGUGGGAAAUGCCAGGUUGAAGAUGACAUUAAGGCUGUGGUUGGCUGACCUUGAGAUGAAGAGAGCACCCCGGGUCACCCGGGGACCCAGUACGAUCAUGAAGGAACUCAAGAGGGAGCGCUGAGGAGUGAGACGCGACGUCGCAGGCUCUGAAGGAAGAGAAGCGUUCCACAGCCCCAGACUGAGUCUGCCCGGAUGCUGGGAAAGACACAGAAAUGGAUUUUCUCCCAGAGUCUCAUGAGGGGAUCAGCCCUGCCUUCUCUGUCGUAGCCCAGUGAGGCUCAUUUGGGACUUCUGACCUGCAGACCCAUAAGAAUAAAUUGGUGGAGAGAGAUCCAAGAUGGCCGAUUAGCGGCAGCUCAGGACUGUAGCUCCCAGUGAAAGCGCAGACAGUGAAUGGACGCCACACUUCCAGACGAAUUUUUGUUGCCCACGGACAAAGAGAUUCCCAGCGGAGGAGCCCCAUGGGUCACCAGCGUCUCUUCUGGCUGGCAUGACUGUUUUGCCUGUGCCCCAGUGCAGCGGUUCUCAGUACAGAGUAUACAGGACUGGGUGCCCUUUUAGUUGGCAUUUGGAGCUCCGGGGAGGCAGAGUUGCCCAUUCCACUGAUUGAAAAGGGGACUGAAGCAGGGAGCCAGACUGGAAGAUUCCUGGGCAGAAAAGUGCCAUGAAUCUCAAUGCCACUGUUUCAGCUGGCACAGUGGGUCACCGCAGGGGAAAUUACACAGAUUCCAGCACCGUUUCAGUGGGUGACUGGAAAAAAAAAGAAGAAGUAGGCUCUGAGACAGGGAGCCACGUGAUCGGGCUCAGCGGGUCCCACCCCCCACAAAAAAAACAGCAAUUGGAAGCACUGAAGAUUGAGAGUUUCACAGCAAGCACAGCUGAACCCGGGAAGGUCCAGCUCUGUGGGGGAGGGGAGUCCGCUGGAGGAAGACUAAGAAACAGAAAAAAAUUUCAUCACCAACAAGCUGGAUGUCCACUCAGAGACCCAAUCUGAAAGUCAGCAAUUACAAAGACAACAGGUGGGUAAAUCCACAAAGAUGGGAAGAAACCAGCGCAAAAAGGCUGAAAACAUCCGAAACCAGAAUGCCUCUCCUCCUUCGGGGGAUCGCAGCUCCUCAUCAACAAGGGAACAAGGCCUGAUGGAGAAUGAGUGUGAUAAAUUGUCAGAAACAGGCUCCAGAAGGUGGAUAAUAGGAAACUUCUGUGAGCUAAAAGAACAUGUUCUAACCCAAUGCAAAGAAAUUAAGAACCUUGAAAAAAGGUUUGACGAAAUGCUAAUGAGAAUAGACAAUUUAGAGAGGAAUAUAAGUGAAUUAAUAGAGUGGAAAAACACAAUAUGAGAACUUCAUGAAGUACGCACAAGUUUUAACAGUCGAAUUGAUCAAGCAGAAGAAAGGAUAUCAGAGGUCGAAGACCAACUUAAUGAAAUAAAACGAGAAGACAAGGUUAGAGAAAAGAGGCUAAAAAGGAAUGAGCAAAGUCUCCAAGAAAUGUGGGACUAUGUGAAAAGACCUAGUCUGCGUUUGAUAGGUGUACCUGAAUGUGAUGAAGAGAAUGAAUCCAAGCUGGAAAAUAUUCUUCAGGGUGUCAUCCAGGAAAACUUUCCCAACUUAGCAAGGCAGGACAAUACACAACUCCAGGUAAUACAGAGAACACCACAAAGAUACUCCUCAAGGAGAGCAACCCCAAGGCACAUAAUUGUUAGAUUCACCAGGGUUGAAAUGAAGGAGAAAAUACUAAGGGCAGCCAGAGAAAAAGGUCAGGUUACCCACAAAGGGAAGCCCAUCAGACUCACAGCAGAUCUGUCAGCAGAAACCCUACAAGCCAGAAGAGAGUGGGGGCCAAUAUUCAACAUCCUUAAAGAGAAGAACUUUCAACCCAGAAUUUCAUAUCCAGCCAAACUAAGCUUCAUAAGUGAAGGAAAAAUAAUUUUUUUUUUGCAAACAAGCAAGUACUCAGAGAUUUCAUCACCACCAGGCCUGCUUUACAAGAGCUUUUGAAAGAAGCAUUACACAUAGAAAGGAACAACUAGUAUCAGCCAUUCCAAAAACAUACCAAAAUGAACAGAGCAUCACCAUAAUGAAGAAUUUACAUCAACUAACAGGCAAAACAGCCAGCUAGCAUUAAAUGGCAGUAUCAAACUUAUAUAUAUAAAUAUCAAUCCCAAAUGCCCCAAACAAAAGACACAGGCAAAUUGGAUAAAAAGCCAAAACACAUCGGUAUGCUGCAUCCAGACCCAUGUCACAUGCAAGGAUACACAAAGACUCAAAACAAAGGGAUGGAGGAAGAUUUACCAACCAAAUGGAGAGAGAGGAAAAAAAAAAAAAAAAGCAGGAGUUGCAAUUCUCGUCUCUGAUAAAAUAGACUUUAAAGCAACAAAGACCAAAAGAGACAAAGAAGGACAUUACAUAAUGGUAAAAGGAUCAAUGCAACAAGAAGAGCUAAUGAUCCGAAAUAUAUACGUACCCAAUACAGGAGCACCCAGAUACAUAAAGCAAGUUCUUAAUGACUUACAAAGAGACUUAGACUCCCACAUAUUAAUAGUGGGAGACUUUAACACUACAUUGUCAAUAUUAGACAGAUCAAUGAGACAGAAAAUUAACAAGGAUAUCCAGGAUUUGAACUCAGACCUAGAAUAAGUAAACUUAAUAAACAUUUACAGAACUCUCCACCCCAAAUUCACAAAACAUACAUUCAUAUCAGUACCACAUCACACCCACUGUAAAAGUGACUCCGUAAUUGGAAGCAAAUCACUCCUCAGCAACUGUGUAGCACUUCACAGGUUUAAAUGAAAUAUUGGUUGGCUGCUUGUUUGUUGUUUUCCUCCCUUAUUCCUUCCUGUCUCCAUGGUAAGCACAUUUAUUGGCAUAAAAGGGGUUUUUAAUACCCAUUUUUAGACUGCAUUCUAGCCUCGGCAAUAGAGCAAGGCUCCCAUUCUCUCUCCCUCUUUCUCUUCCUCUUUCUUUCUCUCUUUCAUUUUUUUUUUCUUUUUUUCUUUUGUCUUCCUUUCUUUUUUCUUUCAAAAAAAAAUAAAUUGUUGUUUUAAUCCACUAAGUACAUUUACAGUGAUUUUUAUGGCAGCAACAAAAAAAUACAAUGUAAGCACUCAACCCUCAGGUAGGAGGCGUGUACCGGCACCGUCCAUGUUCCGGAACCCUGCAUGUUCCGGAAGCAUCGCACUUCCGCUUCCGGGGGAACUUUCUAAGGGUCGCAUGUCUCCAGCCCUUGAGCUCAGCCAGUCCCGCCGGCGCCAUUGCCUUCCUGCCGUGCUCCUCAGAGGCCACGCUCCCCAAGAGUCCCGUGCAGGCGUCCUCUCUCUGCACAAAAAUUGUAUGUUUUGUAGAUUUGGGGUGCAGAGCAGCUGCCUGCUGCUCUCCCGCCCGCCCCCUUCUCCUCACCAGAUCUACUCCUCUUUACUGGCUUCCCCAGCAUCCCUUAGCCCCGGGCGGCUGCCCUGGCCUGGGGGGAUUGGGGCGUGCGUCCCCCGGGUCAGUUCCGGGCAUUGGAUCCCCCGGGCGUGGCCACUGGAGCCAUCCGGCCCAGUCCUCGGCUGUGGUCUUGGGGAGACUGCGAAGCUGUUCGGCCUACUUCGUGUGAGUGCAACGAUCUGGGGUAGCUGGGUUCAGACCUAAGCAUGGAGGGAGGUCUCGCUUCACUGACCAAUCCUGUGUUAGCACCUCCCUGGCCAGCACGAGGGAGGGGGUGCCUGUCUCCCCCAGGCAGGGCAGCCCUCGGGCUUCGCUAGGUCACUGAGCACACGACUGCAAACUCCUGUUUUAACCAAGCCAUGUGCAUACUCGGUAAUUAAAGAAGAGAGUGGGUGACAUAAGGAGCCGACCAAGACCCCACUCACUCCAGAGUCACUCGGAGAAUAUCCAGGCGAGUCUUGCAGUUCGUGGGAAAGGCUGCCUCCUCAUACAUCUUUAUGCAUUUUAGCUACUGCAGGUGCGAAAUUUCACUGCAUCUUUUCCUGCUGCCUACAUUCAUUUUCCUUAAAUGUCUUUUGUUUCUGGCUUUGUGGUAUAAAUUAUUUUAUUCAUCUUCGUGCGACACCGGGCACAUAGAAGGAGCCUGCUUUUCUCUGAGGCUGGGAGCAGGUACGUCCGCGGGCUACUGCCUGAAAGCUGCACGACUCCCUCGGUGGCUUAGAGCAGCCACCGCCUGUCCUCACAGACACGUGGGUGGGAGUGGCUGGCCCUGGCCCGGAUGCCUGGGGAGCUGCUUCUGCUCCCGGACCUGCUGGAUGUCUGGACGCUGGCCGGUCUGGGCUCCCUGCAGGGCCGCUCUGCUUCAUUCCGCAGGUGGAUCGGCUUCGUCUCAUCUCCACCCCACCUGGGAAACGUGGUGCAGUGAUUUCACCUCUUGCAGGAUCAAAGUGGUGAAAAGAAUGCCCAGUCGCCAAAUCCCACACACCUGCUUGCCAAAUGGUAGGAGCGACAGUGGCUUCUCCCUGUCUUCUGCCAUCAGAUCUCACACGGAGGCUUCAACUGGAGCCUUCGUGGCGAGGAAUUCUAAAAUAUAGAGAGUCCCUGCCUCUGACCUGUGACGGCGAAGAACAAAGAGCACAACGGGACGUUUCUGGUGUCCACAUCUAGGGAGCACAAGCAUGCCUGGCCGUGCAAGUGUCCUGCCGUGCACAGGGCCCCUGGCUCGUGCUGUUCACGUGGCUGUCUGCAGCUGUGCAGAGGCUGCUUUGGUUUCCAGUCCAAGCCAGCAGAUUUCCGAGCACCUCAGUGAUUGGAAAAAUAGCACUAACCGGUGGCACUGCUGUCUCCAUCGUGUCGUGUGCCUUCUCCUUGCAGUGAGGACAGUGUUGUGCAGUGACGGCUUCCACUUUGAAGGAGAGAUUCCAGCACUGAGCAGCCAGAGCUCCUGGAGGGCAAGUCCUGGAUGGUCACGGCGUCUCCUCCACCCUGCAGCAUGCACCAGCACCACCUGCCACUACCAGGAGCUGCUCUGCAGGCCCUCUCUGAGUCAUGCCCUCUGGGUCGCAGACGAUGGGAGGGUUCUCAGAUCCCAGCUCAGAAGUUAGAGUGGGCCUGAGGUGAGAAGAUGAAGGUGGGUGACUCUGCUUGAUAAGAGAAAGCAGAUGGCUCCUGGAUUUUCUUCCUCCUCUUCCUCCUCCUCCUCCCUUCUCCCUCCUCCCUUCUCCCUCCUCCCUUCUUCUUCUUCUUCUCUCUUCUUCUUUCUUCUUUUUUUUUUUUUUGAGACGGAGUUUCGCUCUUGUUACCCAGGCUGGAGUGCAAUGGCGCGAUCUCGGCUCACCGCAACCUCCGCCUCCUGGGUUCAGGCAAUUCUCCUGCCUCAGCCUCCUGAGUAGCUGGGAUUACAGGCAUGCGCCACCAUGCCCAGCUAAUUUUUUUGUAUUUUUAGUAGAGACGGGGUUUCACCAUGUUGACCGGGAUGGUCUCGAUCUCUUGACCUCGUGAUCCACCUGCCUCGGCCUCCCAGAGUGCUGGGAUUACAGGCUUGAGCCACCGCGCCCAGCUGGAUUUUCUUCUUAUUACAGUAGAAAACCACAGCAGCAGCAAGUAAGCAUUUGCAAGACAGUAAUGGACAACCUGAGGCCAGUGGCUGCCCUGGCUUGUUAGUACAGACCUCAUCUGGAACAGCAAGCACCGUUUUAGUCACCAUGUUGCUGUAAAUCCCACCAUUAUUUUCCAAGAAGCACAUGUUCCACAUAGGCCAAACUGGUGAGCUGAUCAAGAUAAAAGGAAAUAAAAACUCAUCAUUUUCCAAGUCUUUGAUUGUGGUGCUAAUCUUUGCAAUUCCCUCAUGGAUGUGAUACUGCUUUUGGCUUAAACUUUUAUACUGAGUAGCACUUCACGUUUUCUUUCCUAGGACAAUAGCACACAUUUUGCAGAGCAGAGAGCCAGUGUGGGAGCCUGCCAGUUGCUGAGUAUGGCAAGGAACUAGGGGAGGAACUGCAGGCAUUCAGAGAUCCCUCCUUGGGUGCCCCGGACCGACUUCAGCCCUUUACCAAUCUCCUGUGGGUGUGCACAGGGACUGCACCCAUGGAACAUAUAUGGAUUCUUCGGCUUCCAUGGUCAGUGGGCUACUCCCAGUCGCUGCAGGUCAGCCCUUCGGGCCAGGACCCUACUGCUGCCUGUGAGAGGGGCCCCACCCUCUGAUCUGCAGGAGGAGCUCAGGUGGCCCACUUGGCAGGGUCCCAGCAUCUGCAGUGAAAACAGGAGCCUGUCUGUGGCAGCACCUUCUCCUGAGCUCUAGCCUGUGCAUACUGUCUUCUCCAGAGCUUUCUUAGAAAUGUUAGUUCUACUCUCACAAAUGGAUUUCCUUCUCAACACUGUGGGAAACGACUGUCUUCUGGCUGUCUUAGCUCACCACAGCCACCUUGGAUGGUAAGCUCCAGCUCUUUCUAGCUGAGUAGCUGCUGACCUGUGAGCUGGGCGCAGGAAUGCUGAAAAGGAAGAAGUGGUGGAUCAUCCAUCCCGGGGCCAGGGCAGCAACUGCUUCUCAUACUUGGAGACUUGCUUCAGCUUCCCCUUCUGCAAGCUCCCACACCCUGCAUGUUCCGCUGUUAACGUUUUACGUCUUUCUGCUCCUCAAAAGGGUUACCACUCAUUGGGAAAAUGGAAAUGGCAUCCAGUACUUCUGCACAGAAUUUGGUAAAGUUACAACAGAAUAUCCUUCAAUAAAAAAUAAUACAGUAUUUGUUUGAUGAUUAGCCCUGGAAGGAAAAAGAGGGAGGAUUUCUUUUGAGAAGUGAAAAUAAAGCAGUAAACAGUCCUAA